CCUACGGGUGGCAGCAGUGGGGAAUAUUGCACAAUGGGGGAAACCCUGAUGCAGCGACGCCGCGUGAGUGAAGAAGUAUCUCGGUACGUAAAGCCCUUUCAGCAGGAAAGAAAAUGACGGUACCUGACUAAGAAGCCCCGUCUAAAUACGUGCCACCAGCCGCGGGAAUACGUAGGGGGCAAGCGUUAUCCGGAUUAUUUGGGUGUAAGGGGAGCGUAGAAGGCGCUGCAAGUCCGGAGUGAAAGCCCAUGGCUUAACCAUGGUACUGCUCUGGAAACUGGAGGGCUUGAGUGCGGGAGGGGCAGGCGGAAUGCCUAGUGUAGCGGUGAAAUGCGUAGAUAUUAGGAGGAACACCGGCGGCGAAGGCAGCCUGCUGGACCGUAACUGACGUUGAGGCUCGAAAGCGUGGGGAGCAAACAGGAUUAGAUACCCCAGUAGUC
rnacentral:rRNA from 1 species